rnacentral:rRNA from 1 species
ACGGCCGUUCCAAUGCUGAAUAUACCGGUUCUCGUUAGAUCACCGAAGUUAAGCAUCAUUGGGCGCGGUCAGUACUUGGGUGGGUGACCACCUGGGAACACUGCGUGCCGUU